CAGCGUGCUUUUUGAGGAAAUCGCAAAUAGACAGCAGGUCACAGAAGUGAGCAAAUCACGCAUGUUUUUCAGCUCUUGAAAAGAAAUUAUGGAAGGUUGAACGCUCACGUCA
ensembl:ncRNA R173.11 ncRNA